GAUUGAUUACCCCGAUGCACAGUUACUGCACCCCGGCCAGAGGCAAUCGUGUACCCCCACCAAUCUGGAAAGGCUCAUGGCGCUGGAGCAGGAGGAAGUCAAGGUCUCGGCUAACCACAGAGGGCGCUCUUUAAGCGAGGACCGAAGCCACGAGGACGAUCAUGAGCCUCUUCCCUCUAUCCGUCUUGAGCGAGCUCUCUCUGUGGGCAGCGAGAAG